UGAUCCCACGCGGGAGAGACCGUGACGGGCCGGGUCGACCCGGUACCCAGGAACGGCGCCGAAGGAGCAACUCCUCCCCGGAACCUCUCAGGCACCCAGGACCGCGUGGGCAGA
rnacentral:ncRNA from 2 species